GACGGCUCGAGCAGUUACGAAAGAAGGUCCUAGUCAUCCGGUGCUCCCGAAUCGAAGUGUCAUCGCUCAACGGAUAAAAGUUACUCCGGGGAUAACAGGCUAAUUCCUCCCAUGAGUUCAUAUCGACGGAGGAGUUUGGCACCUCGAUGUCGGCUCAUCACAUCGUGGGGCUGAAGUCGGUCCCAAGGGUAUGGCUGUUCGCCAGUUAAAGUGGGACGCGCGCUGGGUUCAGAGCGUCGGGAGC
rnacentral:rRNA from 1 species